UACAGGGGGGGCAAGCGUUGUUCGGAAUUACUGGGCGUAAAGGGCUCGUAGGUGGCCAACUAAGUCAGACGUGAAAUCCCUCAGCUUAACUGGGGGACUGCGUCUGAUACUGGAUGGCUUGAGUUUGGGAGAGGGAUGCGGAAUUCCAGGUGUAGCGGUGAAAUGCGUAGAUAUCUGGAGGAAUACCGGUGGCGAAGGCGGCAUCCUGGACCGAGAUUGACGCUGAGGAGCGAAAGCUAGGGGAGCAAACGGG
rnacentral:rRNA from 1 species